UUUAACUUGAUCCGAAACCGAAAGGGGGCUUUNGUUUCACUUAUAGAUGGACCCGCGGCGCAUUAGCUAGUUGGUGAGGUAACGGCUCACCAAGGCGACGAUGCGUAGCCGACCUGAGAGGGUGAUCGGCCACACUGGGACUGAGACACGGCCCAGACUCCUACGGGAGGCAGCAGUAGGGAAUCUUCGGCAAUGGGCGAAAGCCUGACCGAGCAACGCCGCGUGAGCGAUGAAGGCCUUCGGGUCGUAAAGCUCUGUUGUUAGGGAAGAACAAGUAUCAGUUGAAUAAGCUGGUACCUUGACGGUACCUAACGAGAAAGCCACGGCUAACUACGUGCCAGCCGCGC
rnacentral:rRNA from 1 species